rnacentral:rRNA from 1 species
GCAAGUCGAGCGCACCCUUCGGGGCGAGCGGCGGACGGGUUAGUAACGCGUGGAAACGUACCCUUCUCUAAGGAAUAGCCACUGGAAACGGUGAGUAAUACCUUAUACGCCCUUCGGGGGAAAGAUUUAUCGGAUUUGGAUCGGCCCGCGUUAGAUUAGAUAGUUGGUGGGGUAAUGGCCUACCAAGUCUACGAUCUAUAGCUGGUUUUAGAGGAUGAUC